rnacentral:rRNA from 1 species
CUACGGAGGGUGCAAGCGUUACUCGGAAUCACUGGGCGUAAAGCGCGCGCAGGCGGUCUUUUAAGUUGGAUGUGAAAGCCUACGGCUCAACCGUAGAACUGCAUCCAAAACUAUUAGACUAGAGUGUGGGAGAGGAAGAUGGAAUUAGUUGUGUAGGGGUAAAAUCCGUAGAGAUAACUAGGAAUACCAAAAGCGAAGGCAAUCUUCUGGAACACUACUGACGCUGAGGCGCGAAAGCGUGGGGAGCAAACAGGAUUAGAAACCCGGGUAGUCC